rnacentral:lncRNA from 1 species
CGGGUCCUACCUGGAGCGACACCGCGCGGCAGGGCGCCAGGCUCCGCGGCGUGGGCCGCCGCGCCCGCCCCAGAGGUCGUUUCCCCUGCAGUUUCCAACAUGGCAGGCAGGCAGGUUUUAUAGACAUGGACAAGAAGUCUGCACACAGAAGUUCUGAGGAUGCCAGGACCGGCAAAAGUGGAGGUAAACACAAACAAAAGAAAAGAGAAAAGCAAAACCAAGAACACCACCGAUCCCGACAUAGGUCAACAUCUCAUUCUUCAGAUGACUGUGUGUUUCCUUCUUCUGUAUCAUCUUCAGGAAGCCAAACGGAUUCAAGUCUAGAAGGUGCUGCCAAGGGAAGAAUUAAGAGAAAGAGAGGAAAGAAAAGGAGUAAACGGAGAAAAGAAAGAAAGGUAACUGGGGAUAAUUUAAUACAGGAAGAAAAUUUAGCUAUCCGAGUAUUCCGCGCUUUCUUGCUAAUAAAGGAAAACAGCCCACACGGGACUUUGCAGAGCUGGAAGGAACGAGUGGUGAACAUGCCGUUAACACGGAGCUAAUCGAAUAGUAUCCUUUUUCUUUUCAAAUACUGUAAUCGAAGUUUCACCUUCUCAGGUGUCAGUUACCUGAAGCACACUGUGGUCCGAACCUACUAAAUGGAAGAAUUCCAAAGAUAGACCAGUCGUAAGUUUUCACUUUUGUCCAUUCUGAGUAGUGUGAUAAAACCUCACGCCAUCCUACUCCGUCCCACUCUGGAUGGGAAUCAUCUUUGUCCAGCAUAUCCACGCUAUAUACGCUACCCACCCCGGGUCACCUAGUAGCCAUCUCCGUUAUUGGAUCAUCAGCUGUCACAGGACUGUAGUUCUUGUGGUUAGGUACCCUUAUUUUACUUAAAAUGGCUCCAAAGCCAAAGAGUAGUGAUGCUGGCAAUUUGGAUAUUCUCUUACUGUGGCUGAUUUAGAAAUUAUAGGAGUUCCCGUCGUGGCGCAGUGGUUAACGAAUCUGACUAGGAACCAUGAGGUUGCGGGUUCGAUCCCUGGCCUUGCUCAGCGGGUUAACGAUCCGGCGUUGCCGUGAGCUGUGGUGUAGGUUGCAGACGUGGCUCGGAUCCCGCGUUGCUGUGGCUCUGGCGUAGGCCGGUGGCUACAGCUCCGAUUGGACCCCUAGCCUGGGAACCUCCAUAUGCAGUGGGAGCGGCCCAAGAAAUAGCAACAACAACAACAACAAAAGACAAAAAGACAAAAAAAAAAAAAAAAAAGAAAUUAUACUUUAUCCCAGGUAUGUAUGUAUAGCAAAAGACACUGUAUAUAUAGGGUCUGGUGCUAUCCCUGGUUUGGGGUAUCCACUGGGGAGGGUUGAAUCAUCCUCUGUGAAUAAGGGAGGAAGACUUUAUUCAGAAAACUAUACAGAUAGGUAAAAUCUUACAUUUGCAAUUCUUUUGAUGCUCUUUAUUUUUAUGUAUUUUUUUGGCUACACCCAUGGCAUAUGCAAGUUCCCUGGGCCAGGGAUCAAACCUGUGCCAUAGCAGCAACCUGAGCCACUGCAGUGAUAAUGCCAGGUCCGUAAUCCCCUGAACCGCUAGGGAACUCCUGAUUCUCUUUAUUUUUUAUGUUAACACAAAUUGGUUUGAAUAAAUGCCAAUAAUAUAGAAAUAGAUAAAAGUGA